GUAGCGGCGAGCGAACGGGGAGCAGCCCAGAGUCUGAAUCAGCUUGUGUGUUAGUGGAACGGUCUGGAAAGUCCGACGGUACAGGGUGAUAGUCCCGUACACCAAAAUGCACAGGCUGUGAACUCGAAGAGUAGGGCGGGACACGUGGUAUCCUGUCUGAAUAUGGGGGGACCAUCCUCCAAGGCUAAAUACUCCUGACUGACCGAUAGUGAACCAGUACCGUGAGGGAAAGGCGAAAAGAACCCCGGCGAGGGGAGUGAAAAAGAACCUGAAACCGUGUACGUACAAGCAGUGGGAGCACCUUCGGGUGUGACUGCGUACCUUUUGUAUAAUGGGUCAGCGACUUAUAUUCUGUAGCAAGGUUAACCGUAUAGGGGAGCCGCAGGGAAACCGAGUCUUAACUGGGCGUUAAGUUGCAGGGUAUAGACCCGAAACCCGGUGAUCUAGCCAUGGGCAGGUUGAAGGUUGGGUAACACUAACUGGAGGACCGAACCGACUAAUGUUGAAAAAUUAGCGGAUGACUUGUGGCUGGGGGUGAAAGGCCAAUCAAACCGGGAGAUAGCUGGUUCUCCCCGAAAGCUAUUUAGGUAGCGCCUCGUGAAUUCAUCUUCGGGGGUAGAGCACUGUUUCGGCUAGGGGGUCAUCCCGACUUACCAACCCGAUGCAAACUACGAAUACCGAAGAAUGUUAUCACGGGAGACACACGGCGGGUGCUAACGUCCGUCGUGAAGAGGGAAACAACCCAGACCGCCAGCUAAGGUCCCAAAGUCAUGGUUAAGUGGGAAACGAUGUGGGAAGGCACAGACAGCCAGGAUGUUGGCUUAGAAGCAGCCAUCAUUUAAAGAAAGCGUAAUAGCUCACUGGUCGAGUCGGCCUGCGCGGAAGAUGUAACGGGGCUAAACCAUGCACCGAAGCUGCGGCAGCGACACUAUGUGUUGUUGGGUAGGGGAGCGUUCUGUAAGCCUGCGAAGGUGA
rnacentral:rRNA from 1 species